UGUUAACCAGUUCGAUGAUUGAAUCACCGGUUCGAACAGUUCAAAGCAAUUUUUUGACUUAUUCGGUUUAAAAGAUUAAACUAGAUUACUUUAUAGACCCUUGAGUCGUGAUCGGAUCGAUCGAACCAGCAGAUUUGGCUUAAUUUUUAAAUUAUGGGUAAACUUCAAAUACCAUACCUUUGUGGUUUCGCACUUUUUUCACUUUAGUACCAUAUGGUUUAACGUAUAUCAAUUUAGUAACAUGUGUUUCAUUUUUCUCUUUUCGUCAGUCCCUCCGUUAGCUUUUCGUUAAAUUAUAUAUAAAAAACUUUCGUUACCCACCUACAAUUUAUUGAAUAUUUACUUUGGCAUCCUUUAGUUUUAACUUUGUCACUGAUUUAACAAAAAAAAAUAGUGACUGAAAUAAUAAAAAGAAAAAAAUAAAAUUACAGAAUACGAAAGUGAUACACUUUGGGGCCGUUUGGUUGGAUGUAGUUGCAGAAACAGUGUAGUUGGAAAUACAUGCAGUUGCAAAUGCUACAGUUAUAACUACACCUAGUCUGUUUGGUUUUACGCAGUUGCAACUGCUGCAGUUACAUUUCUUCUGUUUGGUAAUAUGAAGCUGAUAGUUGUAUUUAUAAAUUUUGUCACCUCUUCAGAUAGAGUGGUGAGAUUACCUUCACUAAACAUAAAAUAAUUAUAUAAAUUUAUUAAUUAUUUAAAUUUACUAUUUAUAAAUAAAUAAGUAGAUAUAUAUAAUAUUUUUAUAUUUUUCAAUAAUUCUUCAACUUAUUAAUCGACACAUUUAAAAUUUUUAAUUUAUUUAAUUUUAAUAUGUAAAUCAAACUUUAAAAAUUUAAACGAUUCUCUCAUUUUUUUU
rnacentral:lncRNA from 1 species